CUCCUCGCUAUGGCACGAUGGGCUGCUGGUCGAGGCCGUUGCGCUCGUACCAGCAGAGUUGCCCGAGCAAAUGAUACUGAAAGAGUUGGGCGAUGAAGGUCGUCGCGAAGACGCCGACGAAGCAGGCGAACUGGCCAAUCUGGCUGAGCAUGAAGAUCGCCGCAUAGGUCAGGAGGGUCAUCAGCAGGUAUUGGCCGAGAUUGC
rnacentral:misc_RNA from 1 species